CUGCCCUGCCUCUUUCCUGUCUGUGCUGCGUGCCCCAAGUCAGAGUGUUGGGUCCCCACGGAGAGAAGUGAUGGACUACUAUGAUUACUCAGAAGUCUCUCUAAUCCUGUCACCUUUCCUCUGGCCAUAGACAAUAGGAGGACCAGGAGAGGACAAUGGCCAGACCUAAGGGGCAGAGAUGGUCUCUCUACUGGACGGGACCCUUCCCAUUUGAAAUAGAGUAGCUGUGAUCACCUACACAAGACCUUCAUGAGAUCUGGCCUGUUAAUGUUCCUGCAUGGAGGAAUAGGAAGAAUUCACCAGGCUUAGAAGAGACAGGGUUCCCCAACAUCCUCACAUGGUCCCUCCUCUCCCCAAGAUACUAAUCACCACUAUAUCUGAAAUAAAGGUUGACUGGG